CCCUACACUAGCGACCCGAACUGGCCCUACUCCUCUGCCGUAAUUCGCAUCUUCCAGACCUUCCUAUCUAGGGUCAUGUCCUCGGUGAGCUGUAACUGUUCCAUGUCCCGCCUAAUCACCUCACCCCAGUACUUCUUCGGUCUACCCCUUCCCCGUCUAAAACCAUCCAACGCUAGCCUCUCAUACCUACGGACCGGGGCAUCCAUGCCCCUCCUCUUCACGUGGCCGAACCAUCUCAAUCGUGCUUCCCGCAUCUUACACUCCACUGAAGUCACACCAACCUUCUCCCGGAUAGUCUCAUUCCGAACUCUAUCCCCUCGGGUCAGUCCACACAUCCAGCGC
rnacentral:lncRNA from 1 species